rnacentral:rRNA from 1 species
UUCGCCCUUAGAGUUUGAUCCUGGCUCAGGAUGAACGCUGGCGGCGUGCCUAACACAUGCAAGUCGAACGGGUGUACGGGAUGGAAGGCUCCGGCCGGAGGCCCCGUGCAUGAGUGGCGGACGGGUGAGUAACGCGUGGGCAACCUGCCCUGUACAGGGGGACAACACUUAGAAAUAGGUGCUAAUACCGCAUAACGGGGGGAGCCGCAUGGCACCCCCCUGAAAACUCCGGUGGUACAGGAUGGGCCCGCGUCUGAUUAGCUAGUUGGCAGGGUAACGGCCUACCAAGGCGACGAUCAGUAGCCGGCCUGAGAGGGCGGACGGCCACACUGGGACUGAGACACGGCCCAGACUCCUACGGGAGGCAGCAGUGGGGGAUAUUGCACAAUGGGGGGAACCCUGAUGCAGCGACGCCGCGUGGGUGAAGGAGCGUUUCGGCGCGUAAAGCCCUAUCGGCAGGGACGAAGCAAGUGACGGUACCUGAGGAAUAAGCCACGGCUAACUACGUGCCAGCAGCCGCGGUAAUACGUAGGUGGCAAGCGUUAUCCGGAUUUACUGGGUGUAAAGGGCGUGUACCCCCCCCCCCAAGUCAGAUGUGAAAACCACGGGCUCAACCUGUGGCCUGCAUUUGAAACUGUAGUUCUUGAGUACUGGAGAGGCAGACGGAAUUCCUAGUGUAGCGGUGAAAUGCGUAGAUAUUAGGAGGAACACCAGUGGCGAAGGCGGUCUGCUGGACAGCAACUGACGCUGAGGCGCGAAAGCGUGGGGAGCAAACAAGGGUAGAUACCCUGGUAGUCCACGCUGUAAACGAUGGAUACUAGGUGUGGGGGGGACUGACCCCCUCCGUGCCGCAGUUAACACAAUAAGUAUCCCACUUGGGGAGUACGAUCGCAAGGUUGAAACUCAAAGGAAUUGACGGGGGCCCGCACAAGCGGUGGAGUAUGUGGUUUAAUUCGAAGCAACGCGAAGAACCUUACCAGGGCUUGACAUCCCGAUGACCGGCAUAGAGAUAUGCUUUUCUCUUCGGAGACAUCGGAGACAGGUGGUGCAUGGUUGUCGUCAGCUCGUGUCGUGAGAUGUUGGGUUAAGUCCCGCGACGAGCGCAACCCUUAUUGUUGGUUGCUACGCAAGAGCACUCUAGCGAGACUGCCGUUGACAAAACGGAGGAAGGUGGGGACGACGUCAAAUCAUCAUGCCCCUUAUGUCCUGGGCCACACACGUACUACAAUGGUGGUCAACAGAGGGAAGCAAUACCGCGAGGUGGAGCAAAUCCCUAAAAGCCAUCCCAGUUCGGAUCGCAGGCUGCAACCCGCCUGCGUGAAGUUGGAAUCGCUAGUAAUCGCGGAUCAGCAUGCCGCGGUGAAUACGUUCCCGGGCCUUGCACACACCGCCCGUCA